rnacentral:lncRNA from 1 species
CAUAGCCAUUGUUGUGGCUCAGAGCUUGAAGAGCUACAGGAAGAAGAGGAACCCCAAGUUCCCACGUGGACCCAUGGGGUGGCCCCUCGUUGGCUCCACCUUCUCCUUCUUCAAGCCCCAUCACUCCUCCUCCAUUGGUCACUUCAUGGAGCAGAACCUCUCAAGGUGACGGAUGAUGAACAUCUAGCUAUGAUCUCUAUAUAUAUCUCCCCUCAAAGAAAAGUUAAUUUUUUUUUAAAAAAAGAACAAUAAAAAAUACAAAAAAAAUACGGCGAUCAAACCACGGUAUUUAAACACGAUGAUUGAAUCACCAUAUUCAACUUAAAAAUACCAUGUAGACGCUCGCGUGACAAACGAAGCAUUAUUUAUGUAAAUAUAAAUUUGUUAGAGCCAUUUGUUGAUUAUUGUAAGAUUUAAACUAGCUCGUUAUUUAGAUGUCCAAAGAGCAUUGCCCAGUCAUAAUUAUGUUGUGUUAACUGCAAAAGGUACGGGAAGGUAUUCAGCAUGAACUUCUCCGGGGAGAUGGUGGUGGUAUCGGCGGCUGUUCAGGAACAGUCUGCCGGCGCACUUCCCGAAGCUGGUCGGGAACUCCUCGCUGGUGCUGCUGAUGGGCGAUGCCUACCGGCACAAGAAGGCCAUCCUCCUCGCCUUCUUCAACAAGUUCCGCCUGCAGGCCGGCUUCUUGCAUGACAUCGAGCGCCUCGCUGGAGGCCUCUUGGCCUCCUGGAGCGAGGGAGGGGUCACCUACAUGACAGAGAACGCAAACAAGGUGACGGAUUUUUUUUCUUUUUCUUUUCUUUCAGCUUAUUUGCAACUUAUAUGCGAUUUUGCUGAUGCUCUUUUUGGAUGGAUUAAAAGGGAAAAAAAAAAAAGGAAAAUAAGCUUUCUUAGUAUGAGGAUGAAAGUUGAAGGGUUAAACAUUAAUAUUCUGUAGGAUAAAUUUAAUGCACUAAAAAAAAAAAAAUAGUAGUGGUAUUUGGUUGUGUGGUAAAUGAAAGCGAAAAGAGAGAAAGGAACGGAAGAGAAAGUAAAGAGAGAAAAUGAGGAGAGAGAAAGUAUCGUAGGAGAAAAAGUAGGAAUAAGGUUGAGAUAGAAGGGUUUUUUUUUUUUGAGAGAGAGAUAUAGAUAACAUGCGAUCCGUUUCGUUUAUUUUAUUUGAAAAUAAAUUUAGUUAGAAAUACGAAUUAACUAGGAUUCAAAUUUGAAAUCUCAAGUACUAAUUAUCAAGUUCUUCGCUAGGGACAGCCGGUGUUGAGAGAAAAAGUUACUGCUGAGAAAAAAAAAAAAGAAAUUAAAUAAGGAGAGAAGAGGAUGAGAGAGAAUAGGAGGAGAAUGAUGGGAGAAGAGAGAAAAGGACAAAAGGCAAAAAAGUGAAAGGAGAAAAUAAAAAAAAGAAAGAAAGAAAAGAGAGAGAGAGAGAGAGAGAGAGAUAAAAGAAGGAUAAAAUGAGCAUUUUGAGAGAAAUAUUUGUUUCUUUCUCUUUUCCUCCUUUCUUAUUUCAUAUGUCAUGUUUGACUCCAUAUUGUUUUGUGCUUUUUACAGUAAAAAGUCAAGAGCUUUUAAAGUAAUGAAAAGUAGAAAUAUACUCGUGAAAUUCGAAGUAUGGAGCUUUAACUUCGAACUUGAAAUUUUGUUGCGGGUGCUUCUCCAUGUACUUCUUUUUAUGUAGCAUGUUAUCCUACAGCAGAGCCAAACAAAAAUUUAAUCUUGAUUUUAAUGAGAGAACAAUUUUCUUUCUAAUUUUUUCUUGCAUUCUUUCUUCAUCCAAGCCUAGCAUAUAGUUAAACCAAAUGAGAAAAAAAAAAAAAAAAAAAAAAAACUAACUAACAAAUCGUGAUGAUCAAAUGUUGUGUGGAUGCACAGUUUGCGUUCUACGUGAUAGUUAAAAAAGCUUUGGGAUUAACCCCAGAGGACCCCGAAACGGAGCAGCUAAGGAAGGAGUUCAUGGCACUCUACAAGGGACUAUAUGCACUUCCCAUUAAUCUUCCUGGAUAUACACAUUGGAAGGCUUUGAAGGUAAGUGCAUGAAAUGAUGUGAUCCUUUUUAAUUCUUUGAAAAUAAAAAUAAAAUAAUCAAAUCGAUCCCACAGGUAGUUUAUCACAUUUGCAGUUUUCGUGUUUCAAAAAUAUAGCACUUUGCUUUCAUAAGGUUCUUGUUUUAGCUUUUGUAACGUUAAUGUUGGCAUUUGGCCAGAACCAAAUAGGAUACGCUCAUGGUCGGGUUCAACCCAUAGUUAUCAUAUUAUCUAAUUAGGAUAGAAUUGCAUUUAUCUUGCUUUUAUUUUUGGAAACUAAGAAAAAAGGCUUUCUAAUAUACUAAAAUAAUUGAAAACAGACUGAUUAGGCCUAACAUUUUAACAUUCAGUGUUAGGAUAUUAUAAAUUAUCAUAAAUUUGUUGUUGAUUCUAUAUAGAAAAUACGUCGAAACAUCAAGAGAAAUUUAAUUAUAUGCCUCCUUGAGAGAAAGAAAACAAUAUAUAUUCCUCAUCAACUCAUUGAGUCUAGAUCUUAAACGGUAAAACCCUAGCUCAUUCAUAGAUAGAUAUAUAAAUAUAUCUACCAUAUAUGGGUUUGGAAAUUUAUGGUUCUUUAUCGACGAUUCAAGGAUAAGUGAAUCGACUUCUAUAUAUGAUCCCUUGUGUCUAAUGUUUGCAUCAGACAUUGUUAGGUGGAUUUCGAGCCUUAAUAUGAUAUGAUUUUUAAUAAGAUUGCACCGAUAGAAUACAAGUUAUCGAUCACUGUUAGGAUCGAGCUUCCUUUGCGUGAUGAUGGGUGUGAAUACUGGAUUUCUCCAGGAUAAAUAUAAUUAUAUGAUAUUCGCACAUCUCGCAACCCUCGUAUAAAUUGUUGAUAAAAUCAAUAAGGUUGGUCAAAAUUUGUUUUGUAUUUUUUUAUAAGUCUUAAUUUUUGAAAACUAUAAUAUUAGCUGGGGCUUUCUUGUUUUUAAUUUUUGAAUAAUAUAAUCCUAGUUGAUUCACAUUUCCAGCUAAGUUUAUUUCUAAAUAAAAUAAACGAAACGGAUAGCGUGCUAUCUAUCUCUCAAAAAGAAAAAAAAAAAAAGAAGACUGCUUUCCUAUAACUAUUUGACUCUCGCCAAGCUACCAUUGCCCCCAGCUGCUGAACGCAUCCUCCUGCUGCGUGCUGACCGCUGCCGUGUGCAGCUUUCUUCACUGCAGAGACUGUUCACUUCGGAUGGUCCUCUGCCUUGAUCCCAGACCGGCCGGACGAAUAGCCAUGAUUUGAUGGGCCAAUCUGACUUGGGUCUGACCCAAAUCCGAGGCCCCAUACCACUUAUGGAAGCCUGGCUUGCUCGGCGUAGGAGAACCCAACCAGCUGGCUGGCUUGCUCGCUCGUCCUUUUGCGAUGCCUCUAUGCAGGCUGUCUUAGUUAUAAUUUGGAGCUCCCAAAAUAUAUAGGUUGAGUCUGUGAUUGCACUGUAUUUUUUUUUUUAGGGGCAAUUGUUUAUACAUUCCUGAAAAGUUUCCUAUUUUCUGAUUUACCACUCGUAGAAGGUUAAUAUUGAAAAUACCUUUUUUACGUUUCAAUUUAUUUCAAAUAUAUUCCUAGAGUUAAAUUCUGUUAAUGAACUGUUAAAAUAGCUGUUAUCUCUAUGAAAUUAUUAUUUUGCCCUUUCAAAUAUACCGUUCUAUCAUCAUCGAUUUUUCUUAUUUGUCCUUAAGUUAGGAGUAAAAAAAUAUUUUGAUUUUUGGCCUUUUCAAAUAUACCCUUCUAUCAUCACCAAUAUUUGCUAUUAAGUCAAGGGCAAAAAAGGCAUUUUAUUUUUUUUUUUAACUCUAAUAGAUAUUUAAUUCACAUUUAACCCAAGUUAACUUAACAGGUGGUCACUGUAGAGAUAUUUUGGAAUAACAGAGGAACAUAUGAGGAGUGUAUUGGAAAGAAAAAAAAAAAAUAGGGACAAAUAAGAUAUUUCUGAAGUUUAAAGAGGUAUAUAGGCAAUUAUCCCUUUUUUUUUUAUAUAGAAUCAUUGAUAGCACAGUAUUGAGAAAGUAAUUGUGAUGAUAUUGUUCCCAUCAUAUACAAGUGGAAGAUAUUGGUCUUCAAUCAAACCAAAUCGAGUGCGCCUAUAGUCGGGCUCGACCCAAUUUUUAUCAUGUAGUCUAAUUGGACUAAAAUUGUAUUUUAGAAAACUGAGAAAAGAGACUUUCUAGCCAUAUCAGUAUAGGGUGUAAACGAGCCGAAUACGAUGCGAGCUGGGGGUCAGCUCGUGUUCGGCUCGUUUAAUAAACGAGUCGAACACGAGCUGGCUCGUUAAAAAAUUCAGCUCGUAUUCGGCUCGUUUAUUAAACGACCGAACACGAGCUGGCUCACAAGCUGGCCAAUGAACAAUAAGUUAAAAAGAUUAUAUUGAACAUAUAUAAGAAUAAAUUUAUAAAGUCUUAUCCAUUAGACUUUGAUCUAGUAGUUGAAAUUUUACAUAUAAAUGAGUGUUUUUAUAAUUGAGCUCACCUUUUAUAUUUUAUUUUGCUAAAAAUUAAAUAAUAAAAAUAUAUAUUAUUAUAUAAAUAUAAAUAAUAAUUAUAUAAAUAUAAAAUAUAUGUAUUCGAGCUGUUAUCGAGCCGAACAUAAGCGAGCGGACCCCAGCUCGUGUUCGGCUCGUUUAAUAAACGAGCCGAAAAAUUGGCUCGUGUUCGCCUCGUUUACUAAACGAGCGAUUCGAUCUCAAGCUCAUUUCAAGCCCAACAUGAGCUGGCUCGUGAACAGCGAGCUGAAUUGCCACCCCUAUAUCAGUAUAAUAAAUAAUAAACCAAUUAUUAGGCCUAAUCUUCUAAUCGUAUCCUUUAAAAGGUGUUUAAAACUCCUAUACAUAUACAGUCAAUUCUCUUGUGAAUAUGGAUAAAAAAAAAUAUACAUAUAAAAUAUUCUGAAAAAUUAAGAGAAAUUCAUGAAAAAUUUCGUUUGCUUUUUUGGAAGAGAAAACCACGUCCCCCAUCUAUACCUUUUAUAGCUAUACAUUAUUUUUCAUAGAAUUUGCCACAUGGCAGUUCUCGUUCACCCUUGCCUUCUUCCCCUUUUUUAUUUCCUAUCUAUACCUUUUAUAGCUAUACAUUAUUUUUAUAGAAUUUGCCACAUGACAGUUUCUACUUCACCCUUACCCACUCCCCAUCUCCGUCCGAUGCUUCAUCUUCCUACUCGCUGACUUUUUAAUUAAUCUAAACAAAUCGUUGUUAUAAGAAAAAAAGAGUAAAAUAAGACAUAUUCAUACUUUUCUUUUUGUAUAUUAUUUGUAUUUAUUGAUGUCUCGCGGCAAGUCAACAAAUUUUAAAAUUUUUAUUUUAUCAAUCUUCUAUUUUUUAUAGUAUUUGCACGCCGCAAUGUACGAAUAACUUCACUAGUUAGCUCAUUAAGUCUAAAGGGUCUUGAACAGUAGAAUAUAGACUUAAUUCGUUCAUAACUAGUCUAGGGUUAAAACGGUAGAGUACCUUCAUCGACUAUUGAAGGACGCAUGAAUCAUCUUCUAUGAUCCAGAAUCGAUCAUGUGACAAGAAAAGUUAACACGAUUAGCUUCUAGUAACAAAAAGGUAUGAUUCAAUCUUCUGCUGCGUCCUACAGUUAAAAACAAGAACGGUGUUACUUUUGUAUAUAUAAUGAAGCACUUUGCUAGCUUCUCAAAAUCACGACCUUACAAGAAACUAUAUGAAAGGCCAUACAAAAGCAAAGCGCCUUUUUUGGAGGGUAAAAGCACAAGAUUGUCACAAAUAUACUGCAUCAUAGGGGUUCAUUUUGAAUAAUUUUAUGCUAAUAAUGAACUUUGUAACUCAUCUAGCUAGCUAUGUACGUUCUCUAUAUGUUAUGUGCCAACAUAGGCUAGGGCUAAGGUUGUGAAAACUAUCAAAAAGAAGUUGGAUGAGAGGAAGGCAAAAGGAAGUGGUGGUGAGGAAGAUGAUCUUCUUGGGCAUGUUAUCAAGGAGAGUACUUACACUCCGGAGAACAUUUGUGACACCAUACUAGGCUUCAUUUUCGGCGGCGUGGCCACAUCCUCAACUGCAUUGUGCUUAGCCGUUUAUUUCCUUCAAAAUUGUCCUAAAGCUCGCGAACAAAUGAGGGUACGUAUGCUCAAAAACUUCACAUCGAUCCAUAAGUAUUAUUUUUAGCGAAGUCUCCAAAAAAGGAAAACAUUAAGUAGUGUAUCUAUGUGUAAAUAUGUUUACAGGAAGAGCAUUUGGAAUGUAUGAAAUCAAAGGAGGAGAAUGGCAAGGGAAAAUUGACAUGGGAUGACUACAAGAACAUGGAGUUCACACAAAACGUACGUUCAGAUAAUUGCAUAUAAUAAAAAAAACAAGAAAAGCUAUUAAAAAACCUGCUAGUUUUGAAUUAAUCUUGUUCCUUUUUUUUAUUCUUUUAUGGUAAAGGUGAUCAGUGAGACACUAAGGGUUGGAAAUGUUGCUCCGUAUGUCUGGAAGAAGGCUACGAAGGAUAUUGAGUUCAAAGGUUGGAACUUCGCUUGCAAUUUUAUUUAUUGUAUGAGUUUUAAUUUGCAAGUCUGGCUACUACACUCUUAUAAAUAUGAUCGCCUUCGUACUCAUAAGUUGUUCGUGAUGAUAGAGUUUCCAAAUUGACGAUCCAUAUCCUUAAAUAUGAUUUUAAGUAUUUGAAACUUUUAGAAAUUAAAUUUUAUAAUUUUUUGAUAUCAUUUACCUCUUAUGAUCAAAAGAUUUCAAAAUUGAUAAUUUUUAACGCUCAGUAUGGGAUACUUGCUAGUUUAAUAGUGUAAAAGACUCGAAAUUAAUUGAAUUUUUUAUAAAAAAUUUUUAUUCACUAUUUAGUUAAGAAUCAAUAACUCUAAUUUUAAAUUGAAGGAUUAAAUUAUUUAUUUUUAGGAUGUUGUUCAAUUUUGACCUUUCAUUUUCUUACGAAAUUUAUUUUUUAGAAGUUUCGAAUACUCUAAAUCAUAUUUAACGGUAUGGAUCGUCGAUUUGAAAACUCAAUCAUUGAAAACAACUUAUAAUUAUAAAGAGCUUUAUACUUAUAAUAUUACAGUAGCCCUACAUGGAUUUUUGCUUGCAUUAUAGAUAAAUUGAUUUGUAUACAUACAUGGGUUUGUUUUUACGAGUGCAGGAUAUUUUAUUCCUGAGGGAACCACUGUGAUAACCUAUCUUGCUGCUGUACAUUUGGACUCCUCUGCGUUUGAGAACCCAGAGCAGUUCAAUCCAUGGAGAUUGGUGAGUUCCAUUGCAUCUUAUUUCUACAUCAUGAUAAUUUUUCGUUAAUUUUUCGUAAAAGCAUAAACAUUCGAAAGUUUCUUUAUUUUGCUACUGAACAUUUCUUGGUUUUUUUUUUGAGAGAUAGAUAGCAUACUGUCAAUAGCACCAAACUGUUGGUGCUAUUAGGUUUUUAGCACUUUGAUGAAAAAAUAUAGGGUUAGAAUGUUUUGGGUCCUCUAAGAUUGAGUAAGUUGUUGGUUGAAUAGUAUAACCUAACGGAUAAAAAUAAUAAAAAGAUUAAAUCUAGCGGUGAAAAAUUCGAUAGCAUCAAGUGCUUGGUGCUAUCGAUAUAUAUAUAUAUAUAUAGAGCUAGGCAUAUUAUCGGUAGCACGGAGACCUCCGUGCUAUCAAGUUGUUUUCAAUGAUGCAGCUUCCAAAUCGAUGAUCGGCUCCGUUAGACUUGAUCUAUACUAUUGAAAGUAUGUGGAAAUUAAAUUUCAUAAUUUUUCGGCAUCAUUUACCUAUCAAACGAGUAGUCUAAAAAUGAACGGCUGAAAAUAAAAAUUUUAUAAAAAAUGAUGAUAAAAACUUGAAUUUAAGAUCAGAGGUACUGAUCUUACUCUAAAUAAUGAAAAGAAUUUUCUAUAAAAAUUUUAUCAGAUUUAGAUUGCUUUAUACUAUUAAAUUCACAAACGCAUCACAUCUACCAUUAAAAUUGUCAAUUUUGAGACAUUUUGAUCACUAGUCAAAUGAUGUCGAAAAAUUAUAAAAUUUAGUUCCCAAAUAUUUUUAUUAGUGCAAAUCAAGUCUAACGAAGCCGAUCGUCGAUUUGAAAGUCGCAUCAUUGAAAACAACUUGAUAGCACGGAGGCCUCCGUACUACCGAUAGUAUACCAGCCUGGCUAUAUAUAUAUAUAUAUAUAUAUAUAUAUAUAUAUAUAUAUAUAUAUAUAUAUAUAUAUAUAUAUAUAUAUAUAUAUAUAUAUANUUUUAUAUAUAGUAUAGAUAGAUAUAGAUAUAGAUAUAGAUAUAGAUAUAGAUAUAGAUAUAUGUCCCAUCAUUAUUAUAAAAAAAUAUUUUUUAUUGUACUUCUGUUUGAAAAGAAGAAAUGUGAUUAGUUUGUUAUUAAUGAUGUGGUGUAAGUGUGACCGUGUAGAAUUCCUCCCUGGGAGAGCCACAAGGCUGCACAUCCCAACUCCCAAAGCAUUCGAUGUUGGGAGGUCUUGGGAGUUGGGUACGACCCAACUCCGAGUGGCCGGGCCUUGUCGGCUCGGUAGACACGGGCUGUGUAGUGCCGGGCCGGGCCUUCCCUCAGGCCUGGCAAGGCACAGGCCAGUUUCAUGCCGGGCCACCGGGCCACGAGGGCGAGGCUGAACACGAUCCGGUUCAUCUGGCCGGGCCGGCCUGGCACAAGUGCUAUAGUACUCAUGCCGUGCCUCGACCCGGCCUACCCUAGUGCCGGGCUAGGCGGGCCGCAGGCCGUCUUUAGACCCCUCCCUACACCCAGCCAUCUAAUGAAUGAGAUUAUUUCACUAAUCACAUUAUUUGACAAAUAAUGAAUCUCACCUAUUAGAUUGAUGUGGUAUAUGAUAUGCAUUUCUUAGAGUGUAUGGAUAGUAUUGCUCUUAUUAAAUUUAAUAAAAUCUUUAAGUUAGCUAAGUAUAGAAACCGAAAUGAAAAAUUAAAAGUUUAAGAAGGAUUUAAUCAAGAGGAAAAUAGUAAGGUCUAUUUCUGGAAGUCCUAUAAUUUGAGGGGAUCUUUAUGCCUUUUUUUUAUUACUAUCCUGGGAGCGGUGAAUAUUUAAAAGUGAAUUGAGCUAGAAUACUCUCAAAAGAAACAAUCCUUUGGUGCUUUUGAGUUUCUAACCCUUGGAUCUACUCCUUGAUUACUAAUAGCCCUUGGAUCAAACACUAUUCCACCUACCACCACCUACUACUAUCAUCUUAAUCCUACAUCUCUCCAUCCGAUGGCUAAAAACUCAAAAGUACCACCUUCUUGGUGCUUUUGAGAGUAUUCUAGCUCAACUCUAUAUAUAUAUAUAUAUAUAUAUAUAUAUAUAUAUAUAUAUAUAUAUAUAUAUUCUAUUUAGUGCAACUCGAUCAUGAAUGGUUCUUCUUAAUACAUGUUUUUGAUCUUCCUAGAGAAUACAAAGGAUGUGAAGAAGGCAAACAACCUUCUCCCCUUCGGCGGCGGCGUCCGACAAUGCAUGGGCUCUGAGCUCGCGAGGGUCGAGCUCUCGAUAUUCCUUCACAACCUCAUCCUCAACUAUGACUGGGAAUCCGUCGAGCCCGACCACCCCGUCUCCAUUCCGCUGGUAUCCUUCCCCAAGGACUUGCCGAUUCGCGUUCGAGCAGUUGAUCAUAGCCUUUAGAUGAACGUACGAUAUGUGAUGCUAGCUAGCUAUCUAUCUGAUGGUUGUUGAUCUAACUAUUUCAGUUUUCUCCCGCAUGUCAUGCUCUACUUAAUAAAAUGAACUUCGUUCUUACUAAAAGUUAUUUCCAAAACUAUGUGUGGGUGUGAAAUAAAUGUCACAAAAGCUUUUUUCUAUAUCUCCCAUAAUAUCAUUUUUUAUAUUAUUAAUAUUCUGACAAAUUAUUACAUUAGGAAUUGAAGGUCUUGGAUUCAUUCAUAGAGUCAACUAAAAAUAGUAUAUGAGAUUUACUAGAAGAAAUUUUUUUAAAAAAUGAUAUAACAUAUAUACUAUACAAAAUAAUAUUGAAAACUGAAUGGAUCGUCUUUCAUAAGCUACCGAUUCAGAUGCAAAAUAAUAAAAAAAAUCGAACAAUAAAAAAUAAGUGUUGAAUGAAGAGAUCGAGAUUAAUUUGUAUGGUUCGGUACGUGCCCAAGUCCACAAAAGGAAUUAGAGAGAUGUAUCCAUCAUAUAGAAAAAAAAAAAAAAAAUACAAGCUUAUAUUUUAUGUAUUCUGUAAACCAAAAAGUAAGAACCUUAUGCUGACACGGUGACACCUAUCUUUCUUAAUUUCCAACCAAGUACCGAACACUACAAGAAAUUAAAUUAACAUUAAUUAAGGAUACUUUUUCUUAUAUUUAAUGAUGCUAAUUAAAAGCAUUCAAAUAUACUCUAGUAUUACUAUCACAUUUGAAAGCUUAGAUUAAAACUUCAGCAAGUAAAAGUCGUCGUGUGUAUAUAUAUUGACGCUUAUGCUAAGUGUCAAUGAAAUAUGUUCUGAUUUUUAAGCGUCAUGAUUUUUUAAAAUCGUGACAUUUUAAAAUAUUGAAUAAUUAAAAAUUAAAAAAAUUAUCAUUUAAUAAAUUGAUUCGAUACAAUAUAAAAUUCAUAUGACGAUACCUUUUGAAGCGUCGGUAUUUGCUAUAUUGUAAGGGAUCCUUGGGGACGCUUUCUCCAAGCGUCGUCUAAAAAAAUUCUUAUAUUGAGAUCGUGUAGUGAAAAGAAACUCUAUGAAAAAAAAUUGUAAUAAAAAAGAAAAGGCCAAUUUGCAUAAAGAAUUCAUUAGUUUUGAGCUUUUGCAAAAAUAAGGCCAUCUUUUUGGAUUUUGCAGAUUCGAAUCGAAUUUUCAGAAAACUGACCAAAAUAUCUUUAUUCUCUUUUCUCUCUCUCUCUCUCUUUUUCUCUCGUUCUUUUUUUUUUCUUUCUCUCCGAAUAGGUCGACGGAAGAGGCAGCCCACCUUGCCUUUGUUCCGCGCACCCUCGCUCGUGCCCCACACCCUCCCUCCGCCUUCCUCGCCUUCGACCCUACCGAGGCCGCGUCGCAACCCUCUAUUUUUUUUUAUUUUUCACUCCGACCCUCCACCCCUCCCCGGCUCUUUACAAUAGUAAAGAGGACAGCGUCACAUUCUCUUCCUCUCAUUUUUUUUAUCGUUCAUUUUUUUUUUUCUCUUCAACUCUCCUCCGCCGACUCCGUUAUCAAACUUUUAAUAUUUGCUAGAAUCACUCCAAUCCCUCGAGUAACUUUCACCGAGGGCUUGUGUGUGACGCUAGCUGUGCAUAUGCUGGUUGUUGAUCCGGAUGUUUCAGUUUUCUCCUGCCUGUCAUGCUCUCAGCUCAAUAAAUUAAAAGAACUUGGUUCUUACUAUGAGCUACUUCCAAAAGCGUUAAUUGGGUGUGAAGUAAAUCUCGCUACAAGCCUUUUCUAGAUCUCCCAAAAUAUUGUUUUUCAUAUUAUUAAUGAUUACAUCUUAUAGAAAUCAAUGAUAAUUUCUUGUUAUUUUAGAAAUCAAUGAUAAUGCCAUGCUAUGAGAAUUUUUUGUAUUAUCUUAUAGUCUAUUAUAUAACUAGGGCAGUGAACGAGCCGAACAUGAAUGGUUCUUCUGGGGACCCACCUCAUCACAUGGAGAUUUCAAUUCGAAAGGGUCCGGCUCACCAAGGAGGAUUUCACGAACAAAGUGCCGCUCUAGUGGAACGAGAUCACUACUAAGAGAUCGGCUAUCCUCACUCUAACUGCUAAGCUCAGACAUUGCAGAGCCAGGAUAAAGGAAUGGUGUAAGACGAACUUUCAUAGCAUAACUAUCACAAAAAGGGUUCUACAGGAUGAAAUCCAAAGCAUUGAUCUGCUAGAAGAACGGACAAACCUACCUCAGGAAAUCAUAGAUAAACGGGCUGACCUUAAAUCGCAACUCAUGCUCAUUCUUAAGGAAGAAGAAAUUCUUUGAAAAACUAGAGCUAAACAGCUUUGGCUUAAGGAGGGAGACAGUAACACAAAAUUUUUUCACGCGGUUGCCAACGGCCGUAAGCGCAGCAACAUGAUAGAAUUUAUUGAAGACGAAUCUGGACGCCAAAUCUACAACGAAGUUCAAAAGAGGUCCUAUUUCCUCCAUUCUUUCAAACGACUCUACGGCCGGAAGGAGGAGGGCCCGCCAUCUUUCGGGGACUGGAGUGGCCUCUACCAUGGACACACCCUGUCUGACCCUGACUCCCUUACUAGUCCGUUCACCCUCGAGGAAGUCAAGAACGCUACUUUCCAACUCGGCAGUGACAAGGCCCCUGGUCCUGACGAUUUUCCUCUCGUCUUCUUUCAACACUUCUGGGAGACAGUUAAGGAAGACAUCUUCAAAAUUUUCGCUGAGCUCCAGGAUAACACCCUCUCCACGUCCCCAUCCGACUACUCAUAUGUGUGUCUUAUCCCGAAAAAGGAAGGGGCGCGCAAAAUACAUGACUUUCGACCGAUAAGCCUUAUCAACAGAAUCCAAAAGAUCAUCUCCAAAGUCCUGGCCAACAGACUCACGCACAUCUUACCGACAAUUAUCUCCCCGACACAAUCGGCCUUUCUGAAAGAUCGCCUACUGGCUGACUCCUUUGUCACUGCAAGCGAACUUGUCAACUGGUGCUCUAAAUCUAGUAAGGAGUGUGUCCGUGUUAAGGUCGACUUUGAGAAAGCUUUCGAAAACGUUAGGUGGUCCUUCUUGCAAAGUAUACUGCGAUGGCUUGGUUUCAAUGGCAAAUGGUGUAGCUAGAUCGAACAAUGCAUUUGUAAUGCGAAAAUCGCCAUCUUAGUAAAUGACUGCCCAACAACGUGGCUGAAAGCAAGGAAGGGGCUCAGACAGGGAGACCCGCUCUCUCCCUACCUUUUCAUUUUGGUGACCGACUGCCUUGCCAAACUCACCGAAACUGCUAGGAGCAACAGUUUGAUUCAUGGAAUUGGCCCAACUGCAGACUGCCAAACAGUGCUUCUUCAAUAUGCGGACGAUACAGUUUUUUUCUGCGAACCAAGGAAGUCAAAUAUGCGAAACCUUCUGUUUAUUUAGAAGAUCUUCGAAUGGGCCUCAGGUCUCAAAAUCAACAGGAACAAAACGGAACUUUACUAUCUGGGACCCAACUCCAGGAUAGCGGAUACACUCGCUGACAUUUUGGGCUGUGCAGUAGGCAAUCUUCCUUUCAAAUACUUAGGGUUGCCGCUUCACAAUAAACCACUGCGAAGGGAGGAUUGGGCUCCGAUCAUUAACCGUAUUGAAACACGCAUGGAAGGCUGGAAGGCUAAACUACUCUCUCAGGGAGGAAGACUCACCCUUGUAAACUCAGUGCUCUCAAACUUGCCGCUUUUCUACUUCUCCAUAUUCAAAGCGCCGCAUUGGGUUAUACACCGUAUAGAAGCCCUAAGAAGAUCAUUCUUCUGGAAAGGAUGCUGCAAAAUCUCCGGGGGAUCUUGUCUAGUGGACUGGAAAACCAUCUGCAAAAGCAAAAAAGAAGGGGGAAUAGGGAUAAAGGACAUGGACGCUAUGAAUACGGCACUCUUAACCAAAUGGUGGUGGCGCUUUUUCAACGAGCCGCACCUGCUCUGGGGAAGGUUGAUCAGAGCUUUAUACUACACCAGACGAAGGCUGUUACACUAGGAAAGAGCUUUCCGACCCUACUCCCAGUGGUGGAAGAGUGUGGUGAGGUGUCGUGAGGCGUUCAAAUGCGGUGUAUCUUAUGUACUUGGAGACGGAAGAAACAUCAGACAGUGGUCUGACAUUUGGAUUGGGGAAACUCCUCUUCGUACCUUGCUCCCGGAUAUCUUUGACAAAAUCGAGAACAAGGAGGUCACAGUUUCCCAAUACUGGAACGUACGUGGCUGGAGAUGGCGUUUCAUAUCCAGAGGGCUCGGAUCUUCUCCCUCCGCUAAUAGUCGGCGACAAAUGAUGAUGCUUAAAGAGCUGCUGCCCCAUUACAAUCCAAUCCCCACACCGGAUCUGCUCAAGUGGCGGUGGACCAGCAACGAAUCUUUUACCGUUAAAUCCAUAUAUAACUUCAUUACCGACGCAGGACAGAGAGACACGACGUAUGUACACUUAUGGGGUUUACGAACCCUGGUCAAAAUCAAAAUCUUCAUCUGGAUUCUGCUUCGCAAAAGACUACUUACUGCCGACAGACUGCUCCGCCGAGGAUGCCCCGUGGACCAGCAUUGCGUCUUCUGCACUACAUUCCCAGAAAGUUGUGACCAUCUCUUCUGUAACUGUGUAUUCGCCAGAUACCUCUUUUUCCCUGAUGGAAGCCCAGACCCAACCGACUCGGGACAAAGUGACGUGCAAAGUCUUUGGGCAAAUACUUCUAGCAUACUUGACGCAAAGAGGAGAACGAAAUGCCUAACCAAUUUGGCGGCAACCUGGUGGGUCAUUUGGACGAAACGCAACAACACUAUCUUCCGCGAGUACGGCCACAAUGCUACCAGGGCUCUUGAGCGCGUCUAUACCUUGACGAACGACUGGAUGUUCUUGCCUUGAUGAAUGCCGGGAACGACCUGUGAUCCCUUUCUUUUUAUUCCUGAUCUCUCACUUUUGUAUUUUCGCAUCACCUAUUCUAGCUCUCUAGCUUUCUCCUAUAGCUCUAUUUUUCCUUCCUUGUUCAUUUUCUACUUUCUUCUGCUUCAUAGGAGGCCUUAGCUGCUUCCAUCAUGUACGCUUAGUUCAUUUUGCUUGAUGAAUGAAGCAGGUAGCUCGCUACCUCUUUCUCAAAAAAAAUGAAUGGUUCUUUUGAUGCAUAUAUGUUUCUGAUCUCCCUGCAGGAUACAAAUAAGGAUGUGAAGAAGGCAAGCAACCUGCUCCCUUUCGGCGGCGGUCAUGUCCGACACUGCAUGGGCUCUGAACUCGCGAUGGUCGAAAUCUCAAUACUACUACACUUCCUCAUGCUCAGCUAUGACUGGGAAUUCGUCGACCCCAUCUCAAUCCCUCAUUCGAUAUGGAUGGUUCAGAUAGAUCUUGCCUUUGAGGAACAGCAUCCAUACGCUUAAAAAAUAAAAUAAAAUAAAACAGAGAAUCGUAUGUAUGAAGCUGUAGAGCAACUGCACCCAACAAUUAUCAUCUCCUAAUUUUUUUUCUCAUUAAGGAGCUAUUUUACUCCUCAAAAAAGUGUGGAAAUAAGUUUUCAAAAAAAAUUCAGGGAAAAUUCUGAAAACUCCUUUUCUAAUUUUCCACCGUUUGAUUAGAAGGAAAAUAAUGAAAAAUAUUUGUCUAGUAAAAAAUUUGUUAUGCAAAAAUCCCUUUUUCAAUUUUUUGUCUGUAUGAUUUCAAGGAAGACUAGCUUUUCUGAAAAGCUUCUUUUCAAAUUUUGUGGAAAUCUAGCAAAUUCAUUUUCCUAAAAAAAUCUGAAAAAUAAUUUUAAAAAAAUAUAGUUCUUCUUGAAACCAAAUGGCCGAAAAGUUGAAAAAUAGAUUUUACAUAAGAAUUUUUGUUUUUGAAAACAAAAUUCAUACUUUUCUAACGACCAAGCACUCUUAAGUUAUUUUUGAAAAUUUGUCAUGUAUCCGACCGGUGGACAUCUCUGAUUAGAACCAAAUCUUACUACGUAUAAAGAUUGGCUAAAGUAAACAUUAUUUUUAGAGAUAAAGAUCGAUAUAAUUGAAACGAAUAAAAUUAAAUAUUAAUAAUCUGAUUGUAAGGAAAAAAAAUAUUGGGAUUAAAAUAAAAAAAGUCAAGUAAAAAAAAUUGGAGACCAAUGAUACAAUUAACCUAAUAAGGAAACAAACUUUUUAUGUGAAGUAAAAUAUAAUCAACCUAAGAUAGUUUAUAUAUUACUACUGGACAAGCGCAUAUGCCCCUCGGAUACAAUAAUUAAUGUGAUACGUGACCACCACAGUGAUUCAAUAAUUGAUGUGUGACCACCCAUUUAUAUGCACGUGAAUAAGCAAAAAAUCUUGUUAAUAUAUCUAUAUUCUAUAUAUUAUAAUGCGUGGCGCAAUAGUUGACACAUGUUUCCGAUGAUAUAUUGGACCAUUAUUUAUGGACAUAUGUCCAUUCCAAUGUGCACCGGGUACACUAUGGAACCAAUAAAAAAAAAUAUUUAUAUUUUAGUAAAUAUGUCUAAAAUUUAUAAAUAUUAAUAUAUAUACAUUUUAAAUAUUAUAAAAUAAAUUAAAUUAACUAAAAUUUAGAUUUGAUAUUUCUAUUGUACAAAUUUAUAAGUGUGUAUGAGAUAUACAUAUACACUAGGUGCAGUGAAUGAGUUAGACUAAAAGUCACUAUGAAUUAGAUCCCCCAACAGUUAAUUAUUUUGAUUUGAGUUAUUAUUCUGAAUAAAUUAGUCGAAAGAAUUGUUAGACUUAUCAGCUUCACUGCCUAUCACCUAUUAAACUAAUUGGAGUACUUCCCCACUUUUUGUCAAUUAUCUAUUGUAAGCUGUAAUUUUAGAAAAGUCAUAUCUAAUUUCUCUAACAUUUUAUAUUUUUGAAAACUAUUUGGUGCUUAAUUUUGAUGAAGUUAGAAAUUUUUCAAAAAAUAAAUAUAUGUUUAUAAAUGCCACAAAAAUAUCAUAAAAUCAAUCAAUUAAAAAACUAUAAAUCAAAUAACUACCUUUUUAUUUUAUCAUAAUAUUUUCAAUUUUUGACAUUGCAUGCAUUGCUUAACAAAAAUGACCUAAAUAAAGGUAGAAGAAUAAGAAGUAAAAAAAUACAAAAAAUAGAUAUGUAUCUUUGGGACAAAUUGACUUAAAAAAUAAGCAUAUUAAGAACUUACUUCUUUUCAAAUUUUAAUUUUCGAAUAUCAAAUUUUAAAUUUGCAAGCGUAGCAUCUUUCCCAAGACGAUUCUUUGGUCUCCCACUUUUCGACCCAAAAUUUGGUUAAUUUGAAUGGGAAUUUCCUCUUCUGCUCACCAAAAUGCAUUUUAAUUAAAUUGAAAGAUGUUUUAAGGUGCAUGUAUAUGCAUUUUCGGAGAAAGAUACGAAAUUAGGGGAUUUAUAAAUUAAGUGUUUCGAUCAUUUGAAAUACCUUCAUAGUAACAUUUUUUUUCUGCUACCGACCGUCUCUAGAGCAAGUGGCAAAGGGUUUGGUGGUUGGUAUUCGAGACCCAAGUUUGAAUCCUAGUUGAUUCAUAUUUUCAGCUAAUUUUAUUUCUAAAUAAAAUAAACGGAACGGAUAGCAUACUACCUAUCUCUCAAAAAAAAAAAAAAAAAAAACAUUUUUUUUCCUGCUAGAUUAAUUGGCUUUUUUGUUUUAAAGAAAAUAAUAAUAAUAAUAAUAAGAUCAGACAAUUAGUUCGCUUCACUGCUUCCUGAUCACUGUUUGUGGUCGCAAACGAGCCCUGCACCGUUUGUCUGUCCCCUGCAUGUCAUACUCUACUUAAUAAAAUGAACUUGGUUCUUACUGUAAGCCAUUUCCAAAAGCACGUUUGGGUGCAAAGUAAAUCUCACUACCAGCUUUUUCCAGACCUCCCAUAGAUAUUUAUAAUACUGAAUGUUGCUAUAUGCUGUGUCCAUAUUGACGGGUCUUAAUUUAACCCGAUCCACAUAAGAUGUGGAUUGAGAUUUAAAAGUUAAGAAUAAGGAUGGAUUAUAUAUUUCUUAUUAGUUAAGAAACGUAUCUCCUAGUGGAUAUCUAUAAUUAUGGAUAUUCUAAUUCUAAUCUCUACGUUAUUUUAUAUAUACGUCCGUUUUCUCUCCCGUAUAUAAUAUGAUUUAAUUCGAUGUAAGAGAAUCCAUGAUAAAUCUUUCUUCUUCUCUCUUCUUCCUCUCUCUCUCUCGGAUUUCCACCUAUGUUCGCGGGGUUUUGGAGUGUGGACAUAGAAGAGAACUCUAAUAGCCCUCUUCGAUUGACAUCCGACGUAUCCGAUUUACGACGCAAGCCGUAGGCGUAGGAGAAGGCGAGAUACGUGAGAGAUCUAAAAACAUUGAGACAAGGACGAUCCAAGCAGGCUUGUAAAACAAGCAAUCCGAUCCGAUUCCGAUUCCUGGAUACGUUGGCUAUCCAGUUUGUAAGUUUUCACUACCCUAAAAUUUUCAACAAUUGGUAUCAGAGCAUGUGUGCUUGUUUUCACCGUAUGAUCAUGCCUGUGAUAUUUCUUUUAAAUCGCAUUCGCUGAUCAUUUUUUUUGUACAUUUGUUCUACAAUUUUUUCGUUUUCUAUGUGAAAUCGAUUAAAAAGAAAGAAAAGAAAAACUAAAUUAGUUUAAGUUUUCUCGUAAAAUUGAUCAUAAAACAUGCGAAAUUUUUUUUUACAUAAAUUGUAUUUCUUUCUCUUUUUUUCGUGAUUAAAUUAAAAAAAAAUGUUGCAACAACAGCGGGCGAGAGCACACUGCACCCACGCCGUGCGAGCGGGCAUACCAGCCUACCACGCGCGCGGGAAGACCCGCGCAUUGCAGGAGGGCUUGCAGGCUCGACCCGACCUGCUGUGCAGGGACGCGGCCCUGCGGGAUUCGGGCGGGCCCGCUGCAUGAAGAUAUAUGCUAUUAGGUUUUUGGCCAUUAGAUGAAGAUUUGUGCGGUUAGAAUGAUAGUGGUCUUCUAGGAUUGAGUAUGUAGUUGAUUGAAUAGCAUAAUUCAACGGAUGGAAAUGGUCAAAAGGAUAAAUUUAGUGAUGAAAAACUUGGUAGCACUAAGUGAUUGGUGCUAUUAGAAGCCACCCGAUCGUGCUUUUUCUAUAUAAUAUAUAUAUAAUUAUAUAUAAUAUUAUAUAUAUUUAAUUAUAUAUGAUAAUAUAUAUUUAAUUAUAUGCAUAUAGAGUUUUGGGUUAUUGUGUAUAUUUACUAACCCAUAAAACUAAAGUAAGAAAACCCUACUCUAUAAACUCUCUCUCCUUCUCUUUCACUUGCUUGCAUAAGCACUUUCUUCUAAAUUAUUUUUCUUGAUAUUAUAAUACCGUAUCUAUACAUUUAUUUUGUAUGUUGAAUUAUUAGACAUAUUUUUGUAUCAAAUUCUAGAUAAUAUUCUAUAAAAAUUAAAGUAUAGAUUGCAUGAUGUUAACAAUUUCAAGCAGCUCAUUUAAGACUCGAGUUUGCUCGACUCGAAAUUAGACUCGCUCAAGCUCGACUUGAAUUAAGCCGUGCUCGAGCCUAAAUUAAGGCUUGAAAUUAAUUUCAAGCCAAGCUUGAGCUAAGAUAAGCUCGCUCAAGCUCGGCUCAUUUCCACCCCCUAAACACGAGUGAGCUGGGCCAGCUCGUGUUUGACCUGUUUCUUAACGAGCUGAAUAUGAGCGAGCUCGAAUAAAUUGUCAGCCGAUCUCAACGUGGGCUAUUCAAGCUCGUCACGAGCUCGAGCUAUACAAGAACCUUUGGUGCUUCAAUUUUUUGGCUCAUGGAUCCAUUUGGAUCCGGUCAACAAUGGCGGCCCAAUAUGGCCCCCUAUUAUCUAUCAUCCAAAUUGCAAACAACUUGAUCCAAGUGCCAAAAAAUUGGAAGCACCAAGAACCAAUAUAGUAUAUAUAUAAUAUAAAAAAAUAAAUAUAAAUAUAUACAUAUGUAUUAUAUCGAACUAUAUCAAACCGAACACGAGCGAACUAAUCCCAGCUUGAAUUCAGAUUGUUUAUUAAACAAGUAAUGCAAUCUUAAGCACGUACAUUUCGAGUCGAACAGAAGCUGGUUUCGCUAAUGGUGAGUUGGAUUGCCAAUCCAAUAUAUAACAACAACUUAACAUACAAUCAAAAGUUCCUUUACUUUGUUACUUAACAUUUCAUUCAUUUAAGUGGAGUCAUCUGAUGUCUCCUGCAUGGUACAAUUAUAUCAUUCCUUCGGUAAAAGGCGUGUUCCCACUGUUUCAAAGAUAGAGCUAUCAAAUUGCUCGAAUCAAAUAAAUUUAAAAUAGGAUAACGGGGUCGUUAAUUCAUUGUACAAAUUGGACCAGAAUUUUGUACAUUUUGAUCAGCAAAUUAACACAACUUAAAGCUCAUAAAUGGUUCUUUUGAUGUAUGUUUCUGUUUUCCCUGCAGGAUACAAUGGAUGUGAAGAAGGCGAACAACCUGCUCCCCUUCGGCAGUGGCGUCCGACACUGCGUGCACUACAACAAAAAUGGUCUAUAGCGACACUUUUAAAUGUAGCUAUAUGUCAAAAAAGUGCUGCUAGCUAAAAUUACCGACACUUUUAAAAAGUGUUGCUAUAUGUGGGGUCGCUAGGUAUAUAGUGACAGUUAAAGAGUGUCGCUAUAACCUAAAAAAGUACUGCUAAUUUACCAACACUUAUUUAAGUAUUUAGCAACCGCCGAAACUCUGUCUCGUUGGCUGCGGUGGCGGAGGAGGACGACAGGAAAGGCUCUUCGUCUAGAAUUUCAGUGGAUUGAGUGAAGAAAGAAGAAAAGAUGAUAAGUGAUUUUUCUUUUUUUUUUUCUUUUCUGUUUGUAAUCGGGCCAAAUGGACUGGGUGUGGUGGGUUGAGUAGAGUAAUUUUUUAUUUUUGAUUGGAUUAGACUUUACACUUAGGUAUUAGUAGAUAUUUUUUUAAGUUUUAGUAUAAAUGGGACACUUACUCAAAAGUGUCCCAAACAUGUGUUCCUAUAAUCUAAUUCUGUUGUAGUGGUGGGCUCUGAGCUCGCGAGGGUCGAGAUCUCGCUAUUACUUCACUAUCUCAUCCUCAACUAUGACUGGGAAUCCGUCGUGCCCGACCACCCCGUCUCAGCUGCUCUGGUAACUUUCCCUAAGGACUUGCCGAUUCGCGUUCGAGCCGUAGAUUAUAGCCUUUAGAUGAACUAUAUAUAUGAUGGUUGUUGAUCUAGUAAUAUUAGUUUUUAUGUAUGCUCUACUUAUGUAAAAGAUUAGCUUUUUUAUUAUUAUAAUAUUAUCUCCCGCGGCGUGACCAACCAUGUGGCCAAUGGGGAAAAAUAGCUAAAUAACCCAAUAAGAUUGGCUCCUAUAUUAAUGCAUCAAUAAUCGUGCCGCCAAGCUUAAAUCCAUCUCUUAGGAGAAAAAUAAUAUUUCUCGACACUUGUGCUCUUUGACCGUAACAAAGUGUGGAUUCAUAUGAUGGGGUUUUCUUCCUUUUUUUUAUAUUUAAUUAAUGGUAACACACAUGUAUUUGCACCCCUCAACUAUAGACCCUUCUAAAUUUAGUUCAUCAACUUUUCCAAAACUCAUGAGCGGCGGAAUCAAUUCGAGUCAUUCAGUAUAGACGAUUCAGAUAGAUCCUGUUGUUGAUUAGUAGUAGUCAUACACUACGGAAAAAAAAAAAAAAAAAAAAAAAAAAAAAAAAAAAUCCUAUAUAUGAGGCUGCAACGCAACUAUGCCCAACAAUUCUCGUCUCCCAAUUUUUUCACCACAGAUAAAUUUUUUUUUCUUUCACCCAAACAAAUAUUGAUGAAAAAUUAAUUUUUUUUUUUUACAAUCAAACACUAGAAAAUGUAAAAUAUUUUUUCCAUCAAAAAUUUUUUGCACAAAAAAUUAUUUUUUACAAUUACACAUAACAUCAAAUACUCUCUAAACUUUCAAAAAACAGUUGGUAAAAAUCUAUUGAUUAAUUACAUUCUUAAAUACAACAUCUCGCACUUCUUAUUGAAACUAACAUUCUAAGCAAAACUUUUCUUAUAAAAUAACAAAACAAGGUUCAGAAUAUAAUAAUAACUAGUGUAGUUAUCCGCGCAAUGCAGCGGGUAGAUAUUAUCGAAAUAAUUUUUUUAUUAUUAUUGAUUAUCGGUAAUAGUCUGAAAUUAUACAUAUACAAAAAAAAUACAGUGAAGAGAUGAAGAAAGAAAUAAAGAGAGGCGUAGAAAAGAGGAAUGACAAAAGAUGUGAGAGUUAUACAUUUAUAUAUCUAUAUUAUAUAUAAUAUAGGAUCCGCGCCAUGCUUCGUGGCAGCUUAGUAAAAAGUUAAUUAAAUACUAACUUUUUAUUCAAGAUCCAAAAACAUUCUGAAAAUAUAUAUAAAAAGAAAAAAAUAUAUAAGCGUUGCCAUAAUUUUGUUAAAAAUUUAUUUAAAUAGUAUAUGAUCAAUCUGCUGAAACUUACCUAAGUAUGAUUUAUUACUCUUGUAGAAUGUUCAAUAGUUUUGUUGAAUCUUCUAUAACUUUUGCAUCAAAAUAAAUUAGGCCAAAAACUUACCUAAGUAUGAUUCAUUAUUUUUGCGGAGUGUUGAGCAGUUUUGUUAAAUUUUCUAUAACUUAUGCAUCAAAAUAAAUUAUGAUAAAACACUCUUUAACUUCGGAGAAAACUUUAUAGCCAUAAUAAGUGAAAAAUUUAAGAAAUAAAGACUUUCAGUAUUUAAACAAAUAUUGAAAAGUUGAGGGGGGCCAUGGCCACCUUGGACCUCUAUAUAACUUCAUCCCUGUAUAUUUUUGUGCUUAUACAGUAAUACAAUCGAGUACGGACAACUAUUAUAAUCAUUAUUUUGAUUAACAAAAUAUUAAAAAGAGCAAAUUAUGACUAAAGAGCAGGAUAAUUUGAUCAACUACAUACUUUUAUAAAUUCAACAGCUUUUGAACAUAACCAUCUAAGCAUUUCUUGAAAAUUACAUAACCAAACCAUUAAAAAUUAUGACUAAAGAGCAGGAUAAUUUGAUCAACUAAAAAACUUUUAUAAAUUAAACAGCUUUUGAACAAAACCAUCUAAGCAUUUCCUGAAAAUUUCAUAACCAAACUAUUAACAAAAUUGAUCAGUACAUCAAAUAUAUAAUAUGCAAAUCCACCAAUUAAGUAUAUGAUGAAGAGAUACCAAAAAAUCUAUUCAUCGAAAUUGGCUAGCAAAAUUUGGUAAAAACCAUCUGCCACCGUAGCCGCCACCGAGUCCAAGAUCGUCGGCCGCCACUACUUCCUCAGCGCUUUCGCCUCGUCCACCUUUUCCGUCGUUGCCAAUCGAUCCGCUGCUUCGCUUCCCGCACCCUUGUGCACCACACCCACCAAAGCUCCUUCACCGGUGGCCGCGAGGACCGGCCCGACAACACCUCUAGCUAUGGCGAUGACGGCCCGUUCAACGGCAAUGGAAGGGGAAGGUGCGUGCAUCAGCUCGGGGCCUAAAUACACAAAAUGAUACAAAGAAAACAAAAUCCAAAUCAUACCUAAUAUGAAUAUUGAAGCCAAAAAGAUCUAGAAAAGGAAACAAAGUAUACUUAACAUAGCCAACAAUCCAGAGAAGGAAUAAAAAUAGGAGUAUACAAAGAUCAAAAUCUAAUAUUUUUGAAACAACAUAAUAUAAAACAGGUAUAUGAAUAUUUAAAUAAAAAAAAUUAGAAUUAAUCAAACAAAAAAUUAAACAGAACCAAAAAGAAGAAGAAGUUGAAAUCACAUUAUUGAAAAAAUAACAAUUAUCGGCCAUCUUUUCUACUCUCACUAACAAAAAUGGCAUUGAAGAAGCUUUUUUCUCUCCUUUUUUUGAACUCCUUCCGCUUAUCUCUCUCUCCAAACGUUUUCAAAAUAGGAUUUUUAAGAAACAGGGGGAGUGGAGGCCAAAAGGAUCAAAACCCACAACCCCAUUUAAUCUCCCUCAUGAGCUUCCCCCCAUCACUACUACUGCCUUUUUCUCACUUCUUUUUUCAUUCCAAAUCUAUUCAUUUAUUGAGUAGGAAGACAAAGCGUCACAGCAGGUAUGUUAGUGAUAGAAUUCAAAGUGUAUAAUUGAAAGAAGCUAAAAAAUUAAUUAAUAAUUUAAUAAUUGUAGGGGGUUAAAUUAUAUGGGGUAGACGAGGGGGCAAAAAGAGUAUAAUUGAAAGAAGAAAAAAAAAAUAGAAAAGCCCUAAACUAAGGAGGAAGCGCCACGUCAUUUUAAACAUUGCGGAUUAAUAUAGUUAUAUAGAUGUAUAGAUGUAUAGAUAUGCACCUACAGAAAAAAUUUUACUAUGUGACAGUCACACCACAUCAUCUAUUAUAAUAUCCAAUCAUAUCUCUUUUUUAAGUAAAAAGUAUAAUAAAAAUAAUUUUUUAUUAACUAUGAGGGAAUGAAUAAUCUCAAAAAAAUAAUUUGAUUGACUAGUGCACACCAUAUAGGAUACGUAACUGCUGUAUUUUAAAUUUAUUUUUUUCACAUACCGGCGUAAAAAAUAUAUUUCCUUCCAUGUCAUUUAUUGCUCACUCUAAACUCUAAACCCAACCCUUCCAAAUCUCAACCUCCCCCCUCCUGCUUCCCCUCCCUUGCCUAAUAAAUGAUACUGUUUAAAUAUAUUUUAGCCCUUGUUAAUAUAAAUAUAAAAAAUAUUAUUUUUUAUCAGAUUAGGUUUUUUUUAAAAAAAUAAUUAUUUUGCGUUAUUAAACAUGACAUCACAAUAGAAUUUUGAAUUCGAGUCACAUUGACUCUUGCCUUGCCAUAAUUAAUUUCUCCAAUUUAACCGUGUUAAUGUCAUAGCUCUAUUAAAAAAUUUCGAGUGAACAUUUAGAAGAAGCAUUAAAAAUAAAAAUAUAAAAAUAUUAUUUUCUGUGUGCUUAAAUAAGAUCAAUAAAAUCAAGUGUGACUGGAUGCAAUUUAUCUUUUCAAAUAAUUACAAAUUUAUGCCUUUUUUAAAAAACAAAAUUGAGCAUGUUAUUCAUAAUUUAUUCUUCAUAGUUUUUAUUUUUUGGAAAAGUAAAUUUUCAAAUUUGAAAAAUAUUUUUUUGGGACCGAGGAAAAUACAAAAUGAGAUAUGUGGUGAAAGAAGGACAUGUCAUAAUUUCUUGUUAAUUGUCACGCAACAAGCAUGGCUAAUGGGCAUCUGGAAAUACUUUUUAUACACUCAAAAAAAAAAUAUAAAUAUUAUAUCUUUUACUAUAAAAUUAAUUAAAAUUUAAAAAAAUUUAGCAAAAAUAAAAAAAUAAUAUGAUAAGUAAAAUGUACACCGUAUUUUAAAGUGUACCAAUAAUAUUGUUUGUGCCUGUACUGUCCUAAUUUUGCUAUUUUAUCCUCAUAUUUUUGCACUAUUUUUAAAAUAUUUUAAUCAGGAAACAUGUUAGAUCUUACAACCUGGAGAGCUUGUAACCUUUAAAAUUCUUAUUUUAAUAGUUUAAUAAAUGUUUAAAUAAUUCUUUUUUGACUCUUAAUAAAAAAUUAUUGAUAAAAUUAGUAUCUUUUAGAUGGGUUAAGUUGUAAAAGUAUAAUGCAAAUAGGGUUGUAUAUCUAGCAACACUUUUUUUGCAAAUUCACGAAAAAUGAUUGAGGGGCUAUUUCAAAACGUCCUAUAGUUAAGGGUCUCGGUAUAUUUUCGCCGAAAAAUUACAGUUUCCCCCCUAUGCACUCAUCAUAACUAUUUAUUGGGAUAAUUGCCUAUUUACCUAUUAGAAUUUUUAAAAUAUCUUAUAUACUUCUAGUUUUUUUUUAGUUAAAAAAUUAGAAUACUUAUUUUGUCUAUGAUUUAAGGUCAAAAAAGAAAAAUUAAUAACAAUAUAUUUAAAUUGAUAAAAUAGUAAUUUCACAAAGAUUACUGUUAUUCCUAACUGCUCAAAUCUGACACUAGGUAUAUAUUUGAAAAAAUUUGAAACUUUAAAAAAAUAUUUUUAAUAUUAAUUCUCUAAAAGUAGUAAAUAAAAAAAUAGAAAAUCUUAUAAAAGUAUAUAUAAAAAAUUGUCCCUUCGUUAUUUAUCUAGUUAUUAUUAUUAUUUUUGGGUGACACGCGCAUUUACAGAGGAGCUAUGUCAACUGGUCGGAUCCGGGGUGAAUUUUUAAAAAUCUGAACACGAACCCGAUUUUAAACCCGAAACUCAAAUCCGAACGUGAAUCCGACGGAUUUUAAAAUUCAUAUUCAAACAAAAACCUGACGGCAAAUUCGUAAUCCAAGACAGAGCCCGAGCCCAAAAUUCCAAACCUAAAACAAUUAUUUUUAUUUUCAAUAUUUUAAAAUAUAUUACAUUAAAUCUAAUUUUUUAAAAUAUAAAUUUAAAUAUAAUAUCAAAUAUUUAUAUACAUAUUAUAUAUAAUAUAAAAUAUAGAUAAUUACCUAUAUAUCACUCAUACGUUUGAAAAUAUCCGAUUUAUUCUUUUUUUUUUCUUUCUAAAAUAUCCCUCAUAUGUUCCACCGUUAUUGCAAAAUACCCCCGCAGUUAUCUUUUCUUAAGUUAACUUCGGUUAAACUUAAGUUAAAUAUCUACCACAGUUAAAAAAAAUUAAAAUACCAAUUUUGCUCUUAACUUAAGGGCAAAUAAGAAAUAUUGGUGACGGUAGAGGGAUAUAUUAGAAAAGACCAAAAGUCAAAAUACUUUUUGUGCUCCUGACUUUAAGGGCAAAUAAGAAAGUCAGUGAUGGUUGAAAGAUAUAUUUGAAAAGACAAAAUAAUAAUUUUAUAGAUAUAAUAGAAUUAAUUAAUAGAUUUUAAUUAUAGAGAUAUAUUAGAAAUAGGUUGGAACGUAUAAAGGGUAAAGAGUCAAAAAAUUUUCAAAAAUACAUAAGCAAUUAUCCUUAUAAAAUAAAUUCAUAGAUAUGACGAUAAUACAUAAAAUUUCGAAUAUCAGUAUAUGUGGACAUCCGGGUGCUCACCAGAACGUGACAGGUUCCUUGUUUUGGCCAAAUAUGGAAAGAAACAGCUGGACCGGAACGGGACCCCGCCGUUUGUUUGUGGAGGGUCGAUUAUUCACACGGGUCGCUACACUUAUUCAAAAUUAUUAACGCCCACCGAUGGGUUGCAGUCCCAAGCAGGAUUAGGAAUGUCAAUUGGUAUAGAUAUUUGAAAUAUUAUUCGAACAUGAAUCCGAACGGGGCGGAUUUAUCCGAGCUAAACGGGUAUAGAUUCGAUUAUGAGUAUAGAAAAUAAAAACCAGACAGAUAUGAAUAUAAAUAUGAAUUUUGUAUUUACCCGACCCGAAUCCGAACUCGAAUCCGACCGGAACCCUAAUAAAUUAUAUAUAUACAUAAUUUAUUUUUAUUUAUUUAUAUAAUAUAUAAAAUAUUUAAUAAUUUUUAACUCUUAGAUCUUUAUUCAACGGUAUAAGUUUUUAAAAUCCGCCGGAUUCGGAUAGUAUAUCAGCCUAGCUCUCUCUCUCUCUCUCUCUAUAUAUAUAUAUAUAUAUAUAUAGAAAGGGUAUCUAAAGUUAUUUAAAUUAUAAAGACUAACUAAUUAUUUAAUUUAUUUAAUUUGAGUCGAUCAAUUAUAUUUUAAUUUUAAAAUUUUUAAAAAAUUAUGUAUUUUAAUAAAAUUAAUAGUUGUGAAAAUUAUAUAAAAUAUAGUAAAUAAAUCUGUAAAAAUAAACAACACAUACAAACUCUAAAAUUAAGCCGCCGUUGACUGACGCAACUCAAAUAAAUUAAAACAUUAGAUAUUAAAAAAGUAGGCGGCAGAUUCAAAAUUGUUUCUAAAGUUUAGAUUAGCUUAAUAGGUUGUUACUUUUUUUUUUUUUUUAGUUUUUCUUUUUGGGAGGGGCUAAUAUUAGAAAAGUUUAGGGACUAUCCAUGCAUGUUACUACCCAGGUCCAAAAUUCCCACUUUAUUAUCCUUCUUCCUCUCAACUCUCCCAAACUCACUCACAAAAGAGAGAGAGAGAGAGACAGAGAGAGAGGGAAAAGUAAAGAUGAUGAUACCAUUUUCAACAGUGUUGGUGAUCAUCUUCACCAUCGUAGUAUCUCCGGCCAUAGCCAUUGCUGUGGGUGUGAGCUUGAAGAGCUACAGGAAGAAGAGGAACCCCAAGUUCCCACCUGGAGCCAUGGGGUGGCCCCUCGUUGGCUCCACCUUCUCCUUCUUCAAGCCCCAUCCCCCCUCCUCCCUUGGAGACUUCAUGGAGCAGCACCUCUCAAGGUGAUGGAUGAUGAUCCAUGAACAUAUCUCCUCUCCUAAACGGAUUUUCUUGAUCUGCAAACUUCCUUUUUUUUUUCUUUUUUUUUUCUUUUUUUUU